UCCCCGUUACCGGGGCAGUCUAGCUAGAAAAAUCCAACUAACUAUAAGGGUUGCGCUCGUUGAUGGACUUAACCAAACAUCUCACGACACGAGCUGACGACGGCCAUGCAUCAUCUGUCACCGAGUUCAAUAAAGCACUCUCGCCUUUCGGCAAAAUUCUCGGGAUGUCAAACCCUGGUAAGGUUCUUCGUUUAUCAUCGAAUUAAAGAACACGCUCCACCGCUUGUGCGGGUCCCCGUCAAUUCCUUUAUGUUUUAACCUUGCGGCCGUACUCCCCAGGCGGAUGACUUAACGCGUUAGCUGCGCCACCGAAACGCUAAGCGCCCCGACAGCUAGUCAUCAUCGUUUACGGCGUGGACUAC
rnacentral:misc_RNA from 1 species